rnacentral:lncRNA from 1 species
UGCUCUCUCCUGCCACCCUGUGAAGAAGAUGCCUUGCUUCCCCUUCGCCUUUUGCCAUGAUUGUCCUGUGCUAAGUCCUUGAAAUGUAUUAUCAUACUCCUCAUAAAACAUUUUAAGGUGUUCCAGACACUCUGCUGGGCAUUGGAUGUACAAAGAUCACACAACACAGUGCCUUCUGCAAAUAAUCGCACAGUCCAUUGGAGGAAACAGUCAUUUGAAUAGUCAAUUAUAAAGCAAUGAUAGGGACAUAUGGAGGGCUUUAUGGAAACACGGAUAAUGGGCUCUGUUAUGGGUUGAAUUGUGUCCUCCUCUCAAAGUCAUAUGUUGAAAUCCUAGUCCCCAGUACCCCAGAAUGUCACCUUAUUUGGAAAUGGGGUUUUUCAAGAUGUAAUCAAGUUAAAAUGAAGUUAAUUAUGGUGGGCCCUUAUCCAAUAAGGCUGAUCUCCUUAUAAAAAGGGGAAUUUGGGGGACAGGCACACACUGAGGAGAAGAACAUGAGAAGAUGAAAGGAGAGAUGGGAGUGAUGCUUCUACAAACUGGGAACUCUAAGGAUCACCAGCAAAUCACAAAAGCUAGGUGAGGAGCUUCGAACGGAUUCUUCUUCACAGCUCUCAGAAGGAAACAACCCUGCCAACAACCUUGACCUUGACUUGUACCCUCCAGGACUGUGGGACAUAAAUUUCUGUGGUUUAAGCUAUCUAGUUUUAGGUGCCUUUUAAUGGCAGCUCUAGGAAACUAGUACUGGGUCUUAACUCAGCUUUGGGGAAAGGGAUCAGAGAAGGCUGCCGGGAGGAGAUGACAGAGUGAACUGUAAUAGACAGAGCUGAUUGAAUAGCAAGUUGCCAAGUGAAAGGGUUGGGGAAGGGUGUCAAGGUGGCAUUCCAGGUGGCUAGGGAGGCAACAUGGGCAGUAAAGUAUUGAGGUGAGAAGCAGCUGGUGAGUGAGGAAUUUGGUGAGGUUUGAGAGUGGUCUCAAGUAGGAAGUAGGAAGAGACAGGAUACGCCAAGCACAGGGCUUGGGGAUGUGCACCAGUGCACAAGGCCAACGAAGACAAGUUUCCUGACCCCGUGGAGAGGACACUUACAUCCCACACUGGGAAGCCACAGUGGAGCAACUAACCUCACGUCACUCUCCUGUUCCCAGUCACCACUGAGCUCUGGUGGUUGGACCAGUGACUUAGUUCCACAAACUUGGUGCCUUGAUGGGGAAAAGUCCUUGUUCAGCCAUGAAAGAAGCACCACAUUUCUGGACUGCUCAAGUUCCAUUCUUGGGUACUCGAAGGUCUCACUGCUCUAUCUGGGGUUUCCUUUCUUUCAGAGAAAAUGAUUUCUUCCCCUUUAUCAUUAAGCAAAAACUCCAAGAUGAUGCUAAUUAUAAGGACAUUUAAGCAUCAUUUAAGGUGAUCACAUCCUGAUUCCGGGACAUUUGUGUCUGAAUUUCCUCACAACAGGAAUACUGCCAGUGAGGAGGCUUUCCCUUAGCCAUUACACUUUACAAAAUCUAGCUCAAAAGGUCAGAAGCUGUUCCUGUAAAGGCUGCCUGAUGUUCCGUGCUCUGUCCUCCUUACAGGAUUCAGGGCGCUUUUGUAUAAAAGUUUCCACCUCUGGUAGACAUUUCAAAAGACUCUUGUGAAAAGAAUAUCUGGAAGCAUAUAGCCAGAAAUGCACAGAGAUUUAAUCUGAUUAAUUAAGAAGUUUUUUUAUUUUAAUAUCAACCCAACUUUUAUAUAAUCUUUAAAAAUUCUAGUGCUUCUGGAUCAAAGGUGAGGUUAUUCACCCCAGGAGGAUCUUUAAAUUGAGGAGUAUUUGUAACCUUUUUCUUUUAGAUUUAUUUAAAAUUAAGCCUAAAGUAAAAUGUUAAACACUAAAAUAUAAUGGUUUUUGCCUUCAUAAAAUUUAUUUCAGAGCACAUUUGAAUCAUACAUUAAAUAUCCUGGUUACGAGUACCAUAUGUUUCUUCUGAAAAUGGAAGAAUUGGCUUAUAAUCCAAGUGUCUUCUUAAUUUUGUUUUUUUAAAAAUGACGUGAUUAUAUUCAGAUGAAGAAUGUAUGUAUAUUUAAAGUCUAAUUCUUUGUUCAAAAGAAUUAAAUGGUCCAUACAAAUACAUAGUUUAAGAUAAUUAAGGUUUACCUGUACACUAGAGAAAAGUUAAUGACAAUUAAAUGACAUUCCUGCAACACACUACACUGACAUUUACAUUGAUCAGAUACUUGUUAGGGGAAGCAGAGGUACUUGGUUCUAUGGACAUGUCCCCUCUAAAAUUCAUGUUGAAACUUAAUUCCCAUUGUAUUAAGAGGCGAGACCUUCUGGGAAGUGAUUACCUUAUGAGGGAGGCUCUGCCCUCAAGAAUAAGAUUGGCAACUUUAUAAAAGGGCUGGAGAGGCUGAAUGCAGUGGCUCAUGCUUGUCAUCCCAGAGCUUUGGGAGGCCCAGAGGACCACUUGGGACAAGGAGUUUGAGAUGAGCUUGGGCAACAUAGCAAGACCCCAUCUGUACACAAAAAAUACAAAAUUAGCCAGGUCUGAUGGCAUGUGCCUGUAGCUCCAGGUACUUGGGAAGGCUGAGGUGGAAGGAUCCCUUGAGCCCAGGAGUUUGAGAUUGCAGUGAGCUAUGAUCACACCACUGCAUUUCAGCCUGGGUGAGAGAGUGAGACCCUAUCUCUAAAAAAAUAAAAUAAAAAAAUAAAUAAUAUAAAGGGUGGAGAGAACUAGUGAUCAUUCCUUUUGCCCCUCCACCUUCUGCCAGGUGGGGAUGCUACCAGUAGGAGAGCUGUAAAGGAGCCGGCCCCCACCAGACACUGAACCUGCUGAUGUCUUAUCUUGGACUUUCUAUCCUCUAGAACCAUGAGGAAUAAAUUUUGUUCUUUAUAAAUUACCUAGUCUCAGGUAUUUUG